UAAGCGACUAAGCGUACACGGUGGAUGCCCUGGCAGUCAGAGGCGAUGAAGGACGUGCUAAUCUGCGAAAAGCGUCGGUAAGGUGAUAUGAACCGUUACAGCCGGCGAUGUCCGAAUGGGGAAACCCAGUGCAAUUCGUUGCACUAUCGUUAACUGAAUACAUAGGUUAACGAGGCGAACCGGGGGAACUGAAACAUCUAAGUACCCCGAGGAAAAGAAAUCAACCGAGAUUCCCCCAGUAGCGGCGAGCGAACGGGGAGCAGCCCAGAGUCUGAAUCAGCUUGUGUGUUAGUGGAACGGUCUGGAAAGUCCGACGGUACAGGGUGAUAGUCCCGUACACCAAAAUGCACAGGCUGUGAACUCGAAGAGUAGGGCGGGACACGUGGUAUCCUGUCUGAAUAUGGGGGGACCAUCCUCCAAGGCUAAAUACUCCUGACUGACCGAUAGUGAACCAGUACCGUGAGGGAAAGGCGAAAAGAACCCCGGCGAGGGGAGUGAAAAAGAACCUGAAACCGUGUACGUACAAGCAGUGGGAGCACCUUCGGGUGUGACUGCGUACCUUUUGUAUAAUGGGUCAGCGACUUAUAUUCUGUAGCAAGGUUAACCGUAUAGGGGAGCCGCAGGGAAACCGAGUCUUAACUGGGCGUUAAGUUGCAGGGUAUAGACCCGAAACCCGGUGAUCUAGCCAUGGGCAGGUUGAAGGUUGGGUAACACUAACUGGAGGACCGAACCGACUAAUGUUGAAAAAUUAGCGGAUGACUUGUGGCUGGGGGUGAAAGGCCAAUCAAACCGGGAGAUAGCUGGUUCUCCCCGAAAGCUAUUUAGGUAGCGCCUCGUGAACUCAUCUUCGGGGGUAGAGCACUGUUUCGGCUAGGGGGUCAUCCCGACUUACCAACCCGAUGCAAACUACGAAUACCGAAGAAUGUUAUCACGGGAGACACACGGCGGGUGCUAACGUCCGUCGUGAAGAGGGAAACAACCCAGACCGCCAGCUAAGGUCCCAAAGUCACAGUUAAGUGGGAAACGAUGUGGGAAGGCACAGACAGCCAGGAUGUUGGCUUAGAAGCAGCCAUCAUUUAAAGAAAGCGUAAUAGCUCACUGGUCGAGUCGGCCUGCGCGGAAGAUGUAACGGGGCUAAACUGUGCACCGAAGCUGCGGCAGCGACACGAUGUGUUGUUGGGUAGGGGAGCGUUCUGUAAGCCUGCGAAGGUGGCCUGUGAGGGUUGCUGGAGGUAUCAGAAGUGCGAAUGCUGACAUAAGUAACGAUAAUGCGGGUGAAAAGCCCGCACGCCGGAAGACCAAGGGUUCCUGUCCAACGUUAAUCGGGGCAGGGUGAGUCGACCCCUAAGGCGAGGCCGAAAGGCGUAGUCGAUGGGAAACAGGUUAAUAUUCCUGUACUUGGUGUUACUGCGAAGGGGGGACGGAGAAGGCUAUGUUAGCCGGGCGACGGUUGUCCCGGUUUAAGCAUGUAGGCGGAGGUUCCAGGUAAAUCCGGUACCUUUUUAACGCUGAGGUGUGAUGACGAGGCACUACGGUGCUGAAGUAACAAAUGCCCUGCUUCCAGGAAAAGCCUCUAAGCAUCAGGUAACAUUAAAUCGUACCCCAAACCGACACAGGUGGUCAGGUAGAGAAUACCAAGGCGCUUGAGAGAACUCGGGUGAAGGAACUAGGCAAAAUGGUGCCGUAACUUCGGGAGAAGGCACGCUGAUAUGUAGGUGAAGCCCCUGCGGGUGGAGCUGAAAUCAGUCGAAGAUACCAGCUGGCUGCAACUGUUUAUUAAAAACACAGCACUGUGCAAACACGAAAGUGGACGUAUACGGUGUGACGCCUGCCCGGUGCCGGAAGGUUAAUUGAUGGGGUUAUCCGUAAGGAGAAGCUCUUGAUCGAAGCCCCGGUAAACGGCGGCCGUAACUAUAACGGUCCUAAGGUAGCGAAAUUCCUUGUCGGGUAAGUUCCGACCUGCACGAAUGGCGUAAUGAUGGCCAGGCUGUCUCCACCCGAGACUCAGUGAAAUUGAACUCGCUGUGAAGAUGCAGUGUACCCGCGGCAAGACGGAAAGACCCCGUGAACCUUUACUAUAGCUUGACACUGAACAUUGAGCCUUGAUGUGUAGGAUAGGUGGGAGGCUUUGAAGCGUGGACGCCAGUCUGCGUGGAGCCAACCUUGAAAUACCACCCUUUAAUGUUUGAUGUUCUAACGUUGGCCCCUGACCGGGGUUGCGGACAGUGUCUGGUGGGUAGUUUGACUGGGGCGGUCUCCUCCCAAAGAGUAACGGAGGAGCACGAAGGUUAGCUAAUCCUGGUCGGACAUCAGGAGGUUAGUGCAAUGGCAUAAGCUAGCUUGACUGCGAGCGUGACGGCGCGAGCAGGUGCGAAAGCAGGUCAUAGUGAUCCGGUGGUUCUGAAUGGAAGGGCCAUCGCUCAACGGAUAAAAGGUACUCCGGGGAUAACAGGCUGAUACCGCCCAAGAGUUCAUAUCGACGGCGGUGUUUGGCACCUCGAUGUCGGCUCAUCACAUCCUGGGGCUGAAGUAGGUCCCAAGGGUAUGGCUGUUCGCCAUUUAAAGUGGUACGCGAGCUGGGUUUAGAACGUCGUGAGACAGUUCGGUCCCUAUCUGCCGUGGGCGCUGGAGAAUUGAGGGGGGCUGCUCCUAGUACGAGAGGACCGGAGUGGACGCAUCACUGGUGUUCGGGUUGUCAUGCCAAUGGCAUUGCCCGGUAGCUAAAUGCGGAAGAGAUAAGUGCUGAAAGCAUCUAAGCACGAAACUUGCCCCGAGAUGAGUUCUCCCUGAGACUUUAAGUCUCCUGAAGGAACGUUAAAGACGAUGACGUUGAUAGGUCGGGUGUGUAAGCGUAGCGAUACGUUGAGCUAACCGAUACUAAUGAACCGUGAGGCUUAACCU
rnacentral:rRNA from 1 species